ensembl:lincRNA
GGCAAAUAUUACAUGAUUCCAUUUACGAGAAAAAUCUAGACUAUGUAGGCAAGUUCAGAGAGCACAAAGCAGAUUAGAGUUUUUUAGUGGGGAGUUAUUGUUAAUUGAUAGUUUCUGUUUAGGGUGAUCGGAAUGUUUUUGAAAUAGAAAAUGGUGAUGGCUGCACAAUUUUGUGAAUGUAAUUAAUGCCACUGAUUGUACACCUAACAAUGGCUAAAAUAGACAAUUUUAUGUUACACAGUUUACAUUUAUGCACAAAUGCAUCAAUGGAAACUAUGUGCAAUAAAUAAUUAGUAUGAGUCCCUGCACUAUAUUUUUAUUUUUGGAUCCUAAAGUGCACUUUUAAAAAAAUCAAUAGAACCAUAGAGUUGGUUCAUACGUACUCUCCUGCAGGCUAAUCCUGCAAAUCCCUCUCUGCUAUGUUGAUGUGUUGCUGGUUGCCCUUCUUACCAAUCUUUCCAUCUCCUCAAGGUAUUUUUUUCCUCUCUAGUGCAUCGAUCUUCAUUGCAUUUAAUUCUAACCACUUCUAUUUGAACAGGACAUGUUAAAUUGUUAGCCAAUAAUAAGUGGUAAUUAUUGAAGAUGCCUUUGGACUUAAUGAACACUCUCCUUAUUAUCUCUAUUACGGAUGACGAAGAGGGGAAGGGGUAGACAGCUGCAAGACAGACGUCGAGUGCCAGGUCCAGACUCCACAGUGUUACAGUGUACACGGUGACGAGGGACGAGGGAGGGACAGAUGUUGGGCACAGCAAAGAUGGCACUGGCCUGCCUUCUCUUCCAGCUAGAAAAGGCGCCACCGUGGCAGUAUUGGCGCCAACGUGGCGGUUUCGGUUCCGCAUAUCUCUGAUAUUUCCUCCUCUCGCCCAACACACCCUACCCAGCUACUGACGACGUAACCAAACCCCAUAGGCUCUCUCCCCGCUGACCUCAUUUCCCAUCCCCUACCCAAUAUAAGCUGCAACCCCGCUCAAUAAAGUGAGAUCCUGCUUCGACAGAUCCCCCGAGCCUGGUGUCGUCCGUUGGUGCGUCCGGGUUCGCGACACUCGCCAUCCCGCUCAGCCCCGGGAAGGGGCCUCCGGCUGGUCCGGUCGCCUCCACCCCUCCGAGGGAACCCCAACAGACAGAGGUCAUAAUGACUAUGAGGCUCCUGGCUUACAGAUUUGCAUGAAAUGCUUCUUAAUGAGGUACUAUCAUUACUCCUGCACACUGACAGCAACUGAAGCUUGGAGAAGUGGACAUCACUGAUAAGAAGUAGAGGAGACAUCUGGACUCAGAUCAGACUUCACAGCUUGGCUGUUAUCCGCAGUGCUUUAGUAACAUGCACAACCAAAGCUGAUAGAGGGUUUCUUCUUAGAAUUACUCUUUUUCCUGAGAACAAUAAAGAAUUAGGAAAGUGUGUGUGUGUGUGUGUGUGUGUGUGUGUGUGUGUGUGUGUAUUACAGCCCUUAAUCGAUGCUAAGUUUGGGGAUAUUUUUCAUUAAAAAGCAAAAACCAUAAAAUCAAAUGUCAAACUAACAGCUCAAACUGUGGAGAACAUGAAUAUAGUUCUUAGUCCAAAAGAGAUAUAUCAAGUUAUGUGAAAAUAAAAUUCACAUACGGUUACCUAUUUUUAUAGAAGAUAAUUUUACAUUAUCAUGUGGUACUUAAUCUUGAAUUUUGAAAAUACAUUUGGAGUAAAUAAAAUGAAAAUAAAAAAGAUAUUGAUACAUAUAAGCUUAAUUUAAUAAUUAUGAUUAAUAAGGGACAGCACAAGCUUGCUGAUAGAAGUCUGAAUGUUAUUCCGUAAGCAAAAUGAAGGUAAACAGAUGAAUCAAUUCAAAGCAUAUACAGUGAAGUUACUAUAUUUUAUGAAAAGAAUAUUAUAAGUUGCUAUCAUUAGUUAUUGGGUAUAACCAUAAAGCAAACAAUUUAGUAAUUUUUGUUGUUGAUGUGAACGUUGUGAACAGACUGACAAAAGGGCUGCAUUAUUUUAUUCAAAGAGUAACAACCUAUGUCUAAGAAGGUGUUCCUUGAGAGCUGACACGCAUCUGUAGGAGACUCAUCUUUUAGAAAUAUUUUGAUAUAAGUUAACAUUAUGGCCAGUACUGUGAAGUAAGAAACGAAGGUAUCAGUUCUCAAAUGAAGAUCAGAAUUCUAAAAAAUG